AUCACAUGGAGAUUUUGCUAGAAAGCAGACUCUGAUUCAGUAAAUGUGCACUGAAGCCUGAAAUUCUGCAUUUCUAGCAAGCUCCCAGGUGAUGCUAU
rnacentral:pre_miRNA from 1 species